rnacentral:rRNA from 1 species
UGAGCAAUCUGCCCUUCUCAUCGGAAUAAGCGUUGGAAACGACGUCUAAUGCCGAAUACGACCUCCUUUCGCAUGAUCGGAGGUGGAAAGCUCCGGCGGAGAAGGAUGAGCUCGCGGCCUAUCAGCUAGUUGGUGUGGUAAUGGCCCACCAAGGCGACGACGGGUAGCCGGCCUGAGGAGGGUGACCGGCCACACGUGGGACUGAGACACGGCCCAGACCUCCGUACGGGAGCAG